rnacentral:rRNA from 1 species
GACGAACGCUGGCGGCGUGCUUAACACAUGCAAGUCGAACGGAAAGGCCCUGCUUUUGUGGGGUGCUCGAGUGGCGAACGGGUGAGUAACACGUGAGUAACCUGCCCUUGACUUUGGGAUAACUUCAGGAAACUGGGGCUAAUACCGGAUAGGAGCUCCUGCUGCAUGGUGGGGGUUGGAAAGUUUCGGCGGUUGGGGAUGGACUCGCGGCUUAUCAGCUUGUUGGUGGGGUAGUGGCUUACCAAGGCUUUGACGGGUAGCCGGCCUGAGAGGGUGAUCGGCCACAUUGGGACUGAGGUACGGCCCAGACUCCUACGGGAGGCAGCAGUGGGGAAUAUUGCACAAUGGGCGGAAGCCUGAUGCAGCAACGCCGCGUGCGGGAUGACGGCCUUCGGGUUGUAAACCGCUUUCGCCUGUGACGAAGCGUGAGUGACGGUAAUGGGUAAAGAAGCACCGGCUAACUACGU